UAUAUCUAAAACACUUGAAAUGAUUAUUAUACUAAAAGUGCAAUAUAUUUAUAUAUCCGUAUUUGUUGUGACAAUGAAUAAACUUUUGAAAUUAUUUGAUGUAUAUGCUUAAAGAAAACUAUAUUGGGUGGGCUUAAAGUGAACAUCAGUUUGUGCAUAGGAAGACGCGAGAGAGCAGAAAAAUAUGCAAAAUCAAAUGUCUAAUCUUUCACUCGCGAAUUCUGGUUUGCACAAAUUACGCGCAACCAAUUAAAAAAAUCCGCCCUACUGACGGUAAUAUGUCAAAAGUAUUCCUAUUUUAAUAGGAAUAUUUUUCCUAGAGAAAGAUCAGAUUGCUGUAAUGAUAUAUAAACUUUUCAAGUUUACACAUGCAUAUAUCCGACAUUCAUAUUUUUUAACGUAAUUUAUUGAUUGAACAUCGAGCUCUGUGUGAUGGUAAUGAUGGUAAUGAUGGUUUUAUUUUAAAACAGUCUCUAUUGCAGUCCGUUGCUAUUCUCUCAGUAUAAUUAAAUGGAUAGUACAAAAUUCUAUUGAAAAGAGAGAAAGAGAGACGCAAGUUUCCAGAGAUCGUUUUAAUUUACUGACAGAAUAUACAGUGUGCGUCUUGAAUGUAUAUACAUUAAUAAUAAAUAGCAGAUGAAUAAAUACGCGCGAUUGUUGAAGUUGAAGGAGAAACUGCAAAGUAUAUGAUAAGCGUGAGUGUUGUCGAUUAUAAUCGAUUACGAUCAUUUAAAAAAAAUUGGUUGAGAAUAUCUAUAAUAAAAAUAUGUGUCGAUAUAUGUUUUGUAUUCAUAAGCACUCCAACAGCGUCUUUUGUAUUGUAAAGAUAUAUUAGAUCUAAGUCAAUAUCGCUACAAGUUUAGUAUAUGUUGAAUAUGAUUUGUUUAUAUAUAUUAUUUAAGACGAAUUUAUAUAUAUACAUAUAAAUAUAUGUAUAUGCGCGUUGCGAAUGUCAUGCAUGCAUUACACGGAAUUUUAUUUGUUUGAAGCAGAAAUUGAAACUAUUUUACAUUGUCAAAUGUGUAUUUAUAAUGAACUAUAUUCUAUAUACUUCUGCGAAAUUGCUUCUUCAACAUCGAACACAUAAGGAAGAGAUUAAUCAAAUCGACAUGUAUUAAUUGAACUAAUUAUUUAUAUUGUAGCACCAAAGCUAGUAGAAUAAUUUAACACGUCCCUUUUUCCACAAGUUACUUUUUUUUUACUUUGAGUAUAAUAUUGUUGAUUUAUUAUGUAUAUCUUAGAUGAAUUGUAUAUUUACAUAAGUCGCCAGAGGCCUGCGUGUCAUGGCCCAAAAGUCUAAUUGAUGUGUAUAUUUAUGUGAAAAAUAUUUUUAAUAAUCAUUACGAUAUAGAGAUGCGUGAAAACGCGCAGUUUCAACGAAACCAAAGUGCACCAUUGCAUAACUUAACUCGCUUAUUAAUUUGUUUCUGUAACUAUAAGAUGUAUCAGUGAAUUUUAUAUUUUUGCACAAGUUACUUUCUAAAUUCCUAUUAAUUCUCGCUGAAAAGUAUAGGAAAAUGUAUAAGAAAGUAAUGUGAGCUCGCUUAUGAAAAUCAAGAAUUUUAUCCUCUGACAUCAUAUCUUUAACAAUGCAGAAUUGCGUGCAAGUAUUUUUAGACACAGAAUAAAUGUUGAAUUAAUAUCACACAGUCUUCACUGCAAAUGAUAUACAUAUAUAUUUAUAUACAUAUGUAUAUGUCUACAUCUUGCAACAUUAUUUCUUAAAUAAAAAUUACAGUUUAACAUAUAAAACAAUAGAAAUGAUAGUCAUGAUGACACAUUCAAAAGUGAUUUAGCUGAAUCAGAAUGAAUAUUAUUUUAUAAGCACAAUGAUAAUGCAGUUAGUGAUCGAUUUCUAUAUUACAUAAUAUGUUACAUAAAAUAAACUCACACUCUUUAUUGAAUUUCUGAUGAAGCUACAUCGAUCUUCCCGAAACAGACUGAACGUUUGGCAAAAGAGAAACUUGGUGCCUUUUAUUUUAUAAAAAUAAAGGAACAUAAGCAUUUUUUUCCACAUUGCAUUCUAAUUAUGGCGAAUACACAUACACGACAUAAAUCGGAGUAGUGCCGUCGUCGAUAAAGAGAGUGUAAGGAUACAACUUUAUAUGGAGCGAUUGUCGCAGCGUUCUUUUGCCGCUGGUAUAUGAAAAUUCGACAAGCAAAGCGACUAGGAUGUUGAGAAAGAUGCACGCGAGCGAAAAAGAACUCUAAUAACACACAUGUUCGGGAGACGUCAGGAAGACAUCCAGAGAAGGACAUCUAUGUAAAAUAUCCUUCAGAGAAUAUCUAUGUAAAACAUCUGGAUAUCCUCUGGACGUCUUUUGGACAUAUGUGUUGUUAGGGAACAUUCGCGUUUUUCUUCUGGGACAUCCUUCUGUGCAUCCUUCCCUGUGCAAAUUAUACUUAUCGCUCCAAUUGUAAGUUUUACAAUCGCCGCAAAGACCGGCGUAUAAAAGUAGUCCGAUAAUAACUGUAUGCAAGAUCAAACACAUACAUUGUGGUUUCCUAUGUUGCGAGAUAAGUAUAUAAACACGGCCUUAAAAUAUAUUCCGAUGAAGAAGGACAAGGGAAAACAGAUUUGAGAGAAGUAAUUUGUGACGCUGCCCACGAGAGAAAACCGGAAAAGUAGAAGAGUCAUCGUUUUUCCUUGUGACGUAUAGAAGAUAUUUUGAUACCUCCAGAUUUGCAUAAAUCAAGUGUCAUUCAUUAUUGCUUGAAUAAGAUUAUUUUUACUGAACGCCGCUCAAAAAAAAAAAAAAAAAAAAAAAGAAAAAAAAAAAAAAAAAACACAGUAAACUUAUAAUAUAUGAAUUGCGCGAAACAUAAGAAUCUCUAAAAGAGUCUGUGUGAAUUGUGCGGAUCACGAGAAAUAAAUAAUAAAUCUAUGUUUAAAACUUG